GCCAGUGUGGCAUAGUGGUAUGAAGUGUUGGACUACAACUCUGAAGACCAGGGUUCAAUUCCCAGCACAGCCA